UUUUUUUUUUUUUUUUUNUUUUUUUUUUUUUUUGUCAUGACUACAGCAUGUGGAAGUUCCUGGGCCAGGGAUCAAACCCACGCCACAGCAGUGACCCAAGCUACUGCACUGACAAUGCCAGAUCCUUAAUCCAUUGUAUCACCAGGGAACUCCUAAAUAUCACUUUUCUUAAUGUUAAUAAUUAGCAAGUCUCCUGCAUGACUGGGCAGUAGCUCAGAAACAGGUGGAGAUGUGCUUUCUCAGAGAUCGUGUGAUGCAGAAAUUACUAAGCUAGAAACCAAGGUCAUGCAGAGGAAUACGAUCCCCAUCAUGCCUGCCCCUCACAUUUGGCUCUAUCUCCUUUCUUUUACAGAUUCUUAGAAGAAAUAAAAUUAGACCAUGUUUAAAAAACUUGGGGCUGACUAAGAAAUAUCUGUUGGAGUUUUACAGUAUCUAAUUCAAACCUGUUGAAGCAUAAUUUACAGUGGGGCAAGGACUGGUAACAAGUACCUGGCGAUGCUGCAGCCUAUCCCCACUUUCAAACAAUCACCCCUCCUCAAUAUUUAUCAGCCACCACAAAAUGUCUACAAAAGAGUUUGGUUUGGCUUAAAUCAUGCCUUCACAAUCAUGCAAUUUCACAUGAAAUCUAUAUUUCUGACUUCUAUUUAAAUGUCUGAAGAUCCGAGCAUUACCCUGCGGCACACUGGGUUAAGGAUCCAGUGUUGUCACUGCAGCAGCCAGGGUCGAUGCUAAGGCAUGGGUUCAAUCCUUGGCCAGGCAAUUUUCAUAUGCUGUGGGUGCAGCCAAAAAACAAACAAACAAACAAACAAACAAACAAAAGCCUGAAGAUCUGGCAAUUAAGGCCAGCCUUCUUCUACAGAANAAUAAAAAAAAAUUUUUUUUUUUGAUUAGGCAUCCAAAGGCCCUAGCAUCUCCACCAGUUCCUAAAUACCUUUAUUAGCAGUUUCACUAAUUAAUUUUACCUGUGAGCAACUCUUAGACUUUCGAAUUUCUCACACUAACAUAUAAUCUGGCUAUUCCAUCUCACAACUCAAAUCUAAUGUCCGACUUUCAGACUGAACUUGGUAAAGGAAGCCUUAUAUAUGCCACUAGGUAUUAAAAUCUCACUAAAUAAUCUGGUUUGAUUCAUCAAAGGGCCUGGAGAGACUACUAGAAUUUCUUCAGAUUGAAUAAGUGAGUGAGACUUAGUUACUGCUCCUAGGGUGUUAUCAAUGUCACAAACUUAUCACUAUUAUAGGCAGUAUUAUUAUUUUAUCAAGUUUCAACUAGCCAUGAUUCAACUGCAGGUGUCCCAAUGAGGUAGGACUUUCUAUUAAAAAAUACUAAUAGGAUAUUGGGUGGUUAGCUCUUUUAUGAUCAAGUCUAGUCUCUAGAAUAAUAACUAUAUGCCGAAGCAAAUAAAUGUGUUCAAUAGGCUAUAAUGUUUUUGAAAUAUCAUCAUCAAAUUUGUAAUCUUGUUCUGUUCAUUAAGAAAUACGUGCUCAGGGAGGCCCCGUCAUGGCUCAGCGGAAUCUGACUAGUAUCUAUAAGAACGUAAGUUUGAUCCCUGGCCUCGCUCAGUGGGUUAAGGAUCCAGCAUUGCUGUGAGCUGUGGUGUAGGUCGCAGAUGUGGCUCAGAUCUGGUGUUGCUGUGGCUGUGAUGCAGGCUGGCAGCUGUGAGAGAGAGAGAGAAAGAAAGAAAGGAAGAAAGAAAGAAAGAAAGAAAGAAAGAAAGAAAGAAAGAAAGAAAGAAAGAAAGAAAGAAAGAAAGAAAAGAGAGAGAGAGAAGAGAAGAGAAGAAAAAAGGAAAAAUAUGUGCUCAGUAUUCUCAAGGUGGCUUUUCAUCAGAAGACAGAUCAUUUUGGCUAUUUCUCGAUUUUAACCAAUAAAAGAUUUAGAAACAAAAUACUAUUUAACAUCAUCAUCAUUAUCAAUGUUAUUAUUACUAUCUUCAAACUUUUUAACUUUAUUUCUUUAUUAUAAUUUUGCUCACACCUGUGGCAUGCAGAACUUCCCAGGCCUGGGAUCAAACCCAGCCCACAGCUCAGACCAGAGCCACAGCAUUGACGACACUGGAUCUUUAACCCGCUGAGCUACCAGGGGACUCCUGAAACUGUUUAACUUUAGACUGUCAUAUCUGUUAGGCACUGUCAUUAUUUAUCAUUGUUACUUAGAAAGUUGUUCUUGCCUCCCCAAUUUAUGUCCUUUUCACAAAACACUUAUUUUAUGGUUGGAUCACUGUGCCUAUUGAUAGUGAGCUCAAGUCAGAAGUGGAAAUUAUGGACCAAUUAGUUUUUUUGUUUUUGCCUUUUAGGGAUGCAGCAUAUGGAAGUUCCCAGGCUAGGGGUCGAAUCAGAGCUAAAGCUGCUAGCCUAUGCCGCAGCCAUAGCAUCACCAGAUCCAAGUCGAGUCUGUGACCUACACUGUAGCUCACGGUGGCAACACCGGAUCCCUAACCCACACAGGUCCAGGGAUCUAACCCACAUCCUCAUGGAUACUAGUUGGGUUCCUGAGCCACAAUAGGAACUCUGGCCAAUUAGUGUUGUAAUUUUUGUCCCUGUUUAAAUGUCCUGGAUUUCUAGAGGAGUCCCAAUUUAAAUAUUCUAUACCCAUAAAUACAUUCAUACUUAUCAGGACAUAAUGGAAUGGUAUUUGUUUCUACAGUCUGGAUUCAGAGAGUCUUCACAGACAGCAGAGACCUUGCAAAGGGGUAUUCACUGAUAUUAAACAAUUUUAAAAGUACAUUGAAAGCAUGUAACAUGAGGGUAGAGAGACCAUGAAAUCACAACUUAAUCCUUUCAUCCUACUCAGUCACACAGAGGUUAAUUUGACAGUACUAUUGCCAAGAUCAUUAGAGACAUUUUUUUUUUCUAGCUUAUCAUCCAAGUGGGAAAGUUUGCACAUGAUUAUAUUUGGAAAAAUGAAGAUUUUUUCACAUUUGGAGCAAAUAAUAUAGUUAGUCCCUCUAACACCUUAUAUAAACAAGAUAUGGGCUUUUUUCAAGAUCAUCAUACAACCAAGUAUAUUCAUCAUAACUUAGUAGUGAAAUCUCAAUUAACAGUAUCUUAUCUAUUAAGUUUUUCUUUAAAUUCUUUUAUUCUACAUAUAAGUUUAGGGACAUUUCUGAAUUUUUCUGGAAAGACAGUGGGCAAUAUUCUUUGAUUUGUGAUUCAUAAUGAAAAAAGAAAACAAUCUUCAGGCUACUGAAGAAAUGACUUGUGGGGAGCCGAGAAAAUAUAAGAAGCCGAGGAAGAGAGUUUGCCUGAACGGUGCAAUUCCGAGGGCAGUCUCCUAAUCAGAAAAAGAGGCCUGCCUGAACGGUGCAGUUCCGAGGACAAGCUCCUAAUCAGGAAAAGGGGCCUGUCUGAACGGUACAAUUCUGAGGGCAGGUUCCUAAACAAGGGGAUGCCUGCCUGCACGGCACAGUUCCGAGGACAGGCCCCAGAAGACAGUAAGGCUCGCCUGCUGACAUAGAUGGAAAACUAAAUUUCCCAGGAAAUAAUUUCCAUUUUGUGUUGCUGAGUGGGGAUUGUUCCAUGAAUAACUUAGUCUUUUCUGUUAUUCACUCGCUAUUCAGUUUUCCUCAGUCUUUCCUAAUUAUUUACUUAUUAUUCUUAUUUCCCAUUUUUAUUUUCCUGUGGUGAUUUGGGACUUAACAAAAUUACAACAAUAGUAUAAUAAAAAUUUCAUCCUGAAGGACUUUUCCCCUAUUUAAAUCCAACUUAGUUAAAACAUAGUGUUUAUCUAUUAACUAGUUAUAUAGUAACUUUAGAGUUAGGAUUUUAAUGAGGUCCAUAGAAGUUAGCCAUAUCUUAUCCAAAAAACCUAGCUGUGAGUUUUGUCUUUGAUUUUAAAAGCUUUUUAGUGAUACCUAGUUUAAUUAAGUUGGUUUAUAUUUACUUACACUGUCUCCCUGCCAUAACGCUUUGAAGAUAAACAUCAGUCUACAAAGUUUGUAAAUGCUAAAAUUCUUGUGUUUUAUGGCCUCUUCAAAGUACUCACUAAGUUUAGUUAAGAUAGAGAUUUUAAAACAGGAUGCAUAGCUGCUAUACCAUGUAAUAGUUAACCAAUGUACUUUUAACACUGUAAUGUAAUCUGUAGUGAAGAACUGUCUAUAUAAUCAACCACUGUUGCCAAUAAAGUUUGAGCAGUCCGGUGCCCUGAAAGAAGGGACAAAGAGGCUGUCUCCGUAACUGUACAUUCGCCGACGGCGCAUCCCUCUCCGAUCGGGAAGUGCAUGCUCCCUGGCCGCCGGAGCUGGCCUCUGGCAAUGACUUGCUGUUUCUUGCUUAAUGAAAGAUAAAUUAAAAUUAUUUGACAAUUCCAGAUGUUAACAAUCAUUUUCUAAAUGAAGAAAAACACUCCUACAGAUGGUUUAAUUUAGUGUCCUAAAAAGGUUGAGGGAAUAAACCUUCUAUUAUUAGAACAGUUUUUGGUGUGAUAAUAGACACUCUGUGAAUAAAACAAUUGAGUAUUUAUGGCUAUUCCUGCCAUUCUGAAUCAAGGAGCAGUAUAAAUAACACCUCAUUACUUGCAGACUGGUUUCAGAAUGCAGAUAAGAAAACAUGUGAAAAACUGUGGAUUCUACAUACAGGAUGAUGUUACUAAAAACCUGAAAAGCCAUAAGUGAUAAAAGAUUCCUUUUAUGAUAGUUCUUAAUUUGAAUUCAUAGAUUAAGUAUAACACAUCUCUUACAGUUAGGACGUAUAAAUUACCAUUCAGUAUUAUGAACAUGGUAUCCAAUUUUAACAAUAUUAAAUAUUUUUGAAAAAAAAACUCAACCAAAACACUAAUUCAACACGUUGUUUUACCUUUUGUGACUUCCCUUCCAAACUUUGUCCUUAUAUAGACAUGUAUUUGGAUAAUUUUGUUUUCUGCUUUUCUGUUUAAGAUUAUUUUAUAAGAAUUUUCCAUUAUACAGUGCAGUAUACGUAACUAUUUUAAGUGCUUUUUUAUUUGCACUUUCAUAUAUGAGUUUUUCCUUAUUGUUUGGGAUUUAAGCUGUUAAAAUUUCACAAUAAUAUUAAUUAAUUAUAAUAUAAUAUUACAUGUAAUGAUAAAAACAUUUUCAUAUUUUUUUGACUUUAUUAUUUUAUUGUUUUAAGAACAUUUAACAUGAGAUUUACGCUUUUAACAAAUGUUUAUCUACUUAGUGUAAUAAGCAGUGUCUAAGAUGUCUCCUAACGACCCCCACAUCAUAGCAUCCACACCCUGUGAGGUCCACCAGAUUUAGUGGUAACACAGACCUAACAGGGUACAGCAGAGGAGACAGGAUAUCAAUUCCAAGGCUGAUAAGGAGAUUGUGUGUUCUUGUCUUGAGUGCUUUGCUUUCUCCUGGAUCACUUGUCCUGGAGGACGUCAGCCACCAUGCUGUGAGGCUCUGUGUAGAGGUGCACGUGGUGAAUCUGGGAGCAGAAUCACCUGCCCCAACAACCAUCACCAGGUGAAACUUCUGGGAAGCUGCAUUCUACCAAGUGCAACUUUAUGAGAGACCUUAAGUCAUAUUCCUGACUCAUAGAAAGUUGAUUAUAUACUAAACGUUUGUUAUUUUAAGCUGCUCAGCCUUAGGGUAAUAAGUUAUCCAGAAAUAUAUUACAGUCUUGGGGAACAGAUAUAGAGUAUGUUUUAAGAACACUACUUGCACAAGCAUGGUAAAACCAUAAUGUUUCAUUUACUGGGAAGUGAACUCCUAUGUUAGAAGUGAUGCUUUUGGGAAUGCCAUAACAGUGGACAAGAUCCUCUAUAAGUCCACAGAUGAUAGUCUGGGCAGGAGCAUUGUGGGGAGGGAAGAGUGUCUAUUCCAGGAAGAGCAAGUGCUGCGCCUUCCAUGAUGGAAGUGGUUUUAUGAGUUGACCCUCCUGAGAAAUCCUGGCACAUCACAGCCUCAGUGUAGUCUCCAGCAUUAUCAGCCUGGGCGUGAUCUGAAAGUAGACUGCUGUCAAUACGUGGAAGCCCAUGUUGCUGAGCCCAUGUACAAUGCCCUUUCUUGGCACUGUGGCCACUUUGUUCAUGAGCCCCUUGGGCAAUGACAGGAAUGGCUGAGAAAGGAGACUGAGUGACAUUCACAGAAUGGAUCAUCCUACCCUCUUGUUUAUUAAAAUUCUUCUCUGCUGAAGUCACCUUUUAUGAGCCUUCCAAUGAGAUUCACCUAGUUGCCUAUUUGGAGAGGUCUAUCCUAUCUUCAACCUAGUUGCCUAUUUGGAGAGGUCUAUCCAUGUAUUUCUCGCCAGACGUCCUUGUG
rnacentral:lncRNA from 1 species